rnacentral:rRNA from 1 species
UCCCUACGGGGGGCAGCAGUGGGGAAUAUUGCACAAUGGGGGAAACCCUGAUGCAGCGACGCCGCGUGAGGGAAGAAGGUUUUCGGAUUGUAAACCUCAGUGGAGGGGGACGAUAAUGACGGUACCCCUUUAGGAAUCCACGGCUAACUCCGUGCCAGCAGCCGCGGUAAUACGGAGGCUGCGAGCGUUAUCCGGUUUUAUUGGGUUUAAAGGGUGUGUAGGCGGAUUUUUAAGUCAGCGGUAAAAUGUCCGGGCUCAACCCGGGCCGGCCGUUGCAACUGGGGAUC